rnacentral:rRNA from 1 species
CCUACGGGCGGCUGCAGUGGGGAAUAUUGCACAAUGGGGGAAACCCUGAUGCAGCGACGCCGCGUGAGUGAAGAAGUAAUUCGUUACGUAAAGCUCUAUCAGCAGGGAAGAAACACUGACCUUACGGUCAGCAGACGGUACCUGAGUAAGAAGCCCCGGCUAACUACGUGCCCGCAGCAGCGGUAAUACGUAGGGGGCAAGCGUUAUCCGGAUUUACUGGGUGUAAAGGGAGCGUAGACGGUGCGGCAAGUCAGUUGUGAAAUGCCGCAGUUUAACUGUGGAACUGCUUUGGAAACUGGCGAACUAGAGUGCGGGAGGGGUAAGCGGAAUUCCUGGUGUAGCGGUGAAAUGCGUAGAUAUUAGGAGGAACACCGGUGGCGAAGGCGGCUUACUGGACCGUAACUGACGUUGAGGCUCGAAAGCGUGGGGAGCAAACAGGAUUAGAUACCCGAGUAGUC